rnacentral:rRNA from 1 species
GAUCCUGGCUCAGGAUUAACGCUGGCGGCAUGCCUAAUACAUGCAAGGUCAAACGGGAAGCUUCGGCUUCUAGUGGCGAACGGGUGAGUAACACGUAGGCAAUCUGUCCUAAAGAUUGGGAUAACAGCUGGAAACGGCUGAUAAUACCGGAUAAUAGAAGAUAUCGCAUGAUAACUUUUUGAAAGACGCAAUUGUGUCACUUUAGGAGGAGCCUGCGGCGCAUUAGAUAGUUGGUGAGGUAACGGCCCACCAAGUCGAUGAUGCGUAGCUGCGCUGAGAGGCGAAACAGCCACAUUGGGACUGAGAACGGCCCAAACUCCUACGGGAGGCAGCAGUAGGGAAUUUUCGGCAAUGGGGGAAACCCUGACCGAGCAAUGCCGCGUGAAUGAUGACGAAUCUUCGGAUUGUAAAGUUCUGUUGUAGAGGACGAAUGGUAGGUAGAGUGGAAUGCUAUCUAUUUGACGGUACUUUACUAGAAAGCCCCGGCUAACUAUGUGCCAGCCGCAGC